AGAGUUUGCUGAAGGAGUGAUGCAUCCUCAGUCCAGCCCGAUGGAGCUCAAAGCUGCAAUGUGCCCAGAAAGUACAGCGUCUCCUCACACAGACAGAACUUUUAAUGAAGCCAGCACAGAGUGGAUGGACCCAGCAUCAACACUUCCUGGUUGAUACCUUCUCAGGGUAAUUAGUCCGCCCUAAUUAGGUGGAAACCUGCUUCUUCACAGAAGAAACAAUUCCAGGUGUGGCUCAUUACCCCUCGUUAGCUUCUCGUUAUAUUUGGUGUCGUGGCUUGUCUCCCCUGUUGGAUUGUUGUGGUUUUUAGUUUGUCUCCUGUGUUUCUGUGGUUUU